UCUGAUUCACCAGGUUCUUUGGCUUCUCACUGUGAUCUGUCUUCAGAAAAAAGUGCAGUGACCAUGAAAGGAGAGAAGGAAAGAAAGAAAAAAGGAGUGAAGAAGAGGAAGACAGAAAGAAAAAGAGGGAGAGAGAACGGGAAUGCUGCUUUAUUCUAAAAAUGGAUCUGAGACAGAUCGACGAGACAGAAGAUUGAUGAGAAUGUCCAGGACUUGAACUCAGAUCCGGAGCAAAUAUUUGUAAAUUUAAACAACG
rnacentral:lncRNA from 13 species